AUUGCUCUUUAAGUUGGCUGGACAACGAGCAAUAGUAUUAGGCACGACAGUAGCUCCACCAUCUCCUAACGGUGAUUAUGAAAUGGGACUUGAGCAACUUGCUUCGAUGAACAGGGAUCAUAAUAUUACAACACUGCAACAAUAUGGAGGGGUUAAAGGGUUGGCAAAAAUGAUAAAAAUAGACGUCGAAACAGGGAUAUACGGUGACAAACAUGAGUUAUCACGAAGAAAGAAUGCUUUCGGCUCAAACACGUAUCCCGUGAAA